rnacentral:rRNA from 1 species
GACGAACGCUGGCGGCGUGCUUAACACAUGCAAGUCGAACGGAAAGGCCCUGCUUUUGUGGGGUGCUCGAGUGGCGAACGGGUGAGUAACACGUGUGUAACCUGCCCUUGACUUUGGGAUAACUUCAGGAAACUGGGGCUAAUACCGGAUAGGAGCUCCUGCUGCAUGGUGGGGGUUGGAAAGUUUCGGCGGUUGGGGAUGGACUCGCGGCUUAUCAGCUUGUUGGUGGGGUAGUGGCUUACCAAGGCUUUGACGGGUAGCCGGCCUGAGAGGGUGACCGGCCACAUUGGGACUGAGAUACGGCCCAGACUCCUACGGGAGGCAGCAGUGGGGAAUAUUGAACAAUGGGCGGAAGCCUGAUGCAGCAACGCCGCGUGCGGGAUGACGGCCUUCGGGUUGUAAACCGCUUUCGCCUGUGACGAAGCGUGAGUGACGGUAAUGGGUAAAGAAGCACCGGCUAACUACGUG